CCAGCAGCUGCCUGCUGCCAGGGCCAGCUCUGAUCAUGUAGCCAGGGCAGGGACAAUGUCCCCAUGCCCCAGCAGCAGGCAGCUGCUGGGGGUAGGGGGCAAUGUCUCAGUCCCUGGCUCUGAUUUUGGAGCUGGGGAUUGGGAGCUGCCUGCUCU